UGGGGAAUAUUGGACAAUGGGCGAAAGCCUGAUCCAGCCAUGCCGCGUGUGUGAAGAAGGUCUUCGGAUUGUAACGCACUUUAAGUUGGGAGGAAGGGCAUUAACCUAAUACGUUAGUGUUUUGACGUUACCGACAGAAUAAGCACCGGCUAACUCUGUGCCAGCAGCCGCGGUAAUACAGAGGGUGCAAGCGUUAAUCGGAAUUACUGGGCGUAAAGCGCGCGUAGGUGGUAUGUUAAGUUGGAUGUGAAAUCCCCGGGCUCAACCUGGGAACUGCAUUCAAAACUGACUGACUAGAGUAUGGUAGAGGGUGGUGGAAUUUCCUGUGUAGCGGUGAAAUGCGUAGAUAUAGGAAGGAACACCAGUGGCGAAGGCGACCACCUGGACUAAUACUGACACUGAGGUGCGAAAGCGUGGGGAGCAAACA
rnacentral:rRNA from 1 species